rnacentral:rRNA from 1 species
UAGCCAGACUCCUACGGGAGGCAGCAGUGAGGAAUAUUGGUCAAUGGCCGCAGGGCUGAACCAGCCAAGUCGCGUGAGGGAUGACGGUCCUAUGGAUUGUAAACCUCUUUUGCCGGGGAGCAAGGGCGGGGACGUGUCCCGGCCCGGAGAGUACCCGGAGAAAAAGCAUCGGCUAACUCCGUGCCAGCAGCCGCGGUAAUACGGAGGAUGCGAGCGUUAUCCGGAUUUAUUGGGUUUAAAGGGUGCGUAGGCGGGCUUUUAAGUCAGCGGUAAAAAUUCGGGGCUCAACCCCGUCCGGCCGUUGAAACUGGGGGCCUUGAGUGGGCGAGAAGAAGGCGGAAUGCGUGGUGUAGCGGUGAAAUGCAUAGAUAUCACGCAGAACCCCGAUUGCGAAGGCAGCCUUCCGGCGCCCUACUGACGCUGAGGCACGAAAGCGUGGGUAUCGAACAGGAUUAGAUACCCUAGUAUG